CAGCCUCUUCUGGUCGCCACGUGAUACAGCAACCUGAGUCCUCCUUGAAACAUUGUUGCCUGGUAAGAAAUGGAUGGAAAGUGACUCUGCAGAAAUCCUAAGUGCAAGCAGGCUAUCAGGGUUAUCUCUGUCAACACCAGUGAUUUUAGAGAGAAUGACAAAUAUAGAAGAUGUGGAAGACAAGUACUGGACAUGUCCUGAUCAAGACAAAUAUUGAAAGGAACACAGAUGGUAAAAAAUUGAUCCUAACUGGAAGCUAUAUGGCUGCCAUGAAAAUUAAAUCCUGUUAAAUAGUGCCAGAGGCACCUGGAAGAAUUCCUACAUUUUGACCACAACGUUCACCCCUACAGAUAAAGGAAAGAAGACCAAGAGACAAAUGGAGAGAGGUACACAGAUAGACUACAUUUCCUGACCUUCCUUGCAAUUAAAUGUGGCCACAUGGGUGAAUUGUAGUCAGUGGAAUAUGAGCAGAAGUGAUAUGUACCUUGGAGGACUAUCUCAUGAAGAUCUCCCAGACCCCCACCCUCUCAUAUGGACUACUUUUAUUCUGGAAUGAAGAUACUCCAAUCCAUGUGUAUUUUAAGGAGAGAGUCUCCAU